rnacentral:misc_RNA from 1 species
GAGAGUUGAAAAACUCCCAAACCCUUUGUGAACCUACCUGAAUUUUACUCCGGCAGGCGGCCCCAGGGCGGGGCCAGGAGCCUGUUUACAGGUGCCUGUCGGAAGUAUCAGACUCUAUCAUCAAUUGUCUUCUGAGUCGCUACAGCGAAAUAAUUA